rnacentral:rRNA from 1 species
UUGCGCAUUCUUCGUGAGUGCGCAGUAUCGUAGCGAAGGCGUUAAGCUCGCCGCCUGGGAAGUAUGCUCGCAAGACUGAAACUUAAAGGAAUUGGCGGGGAAGCACUACAAGGGGUCCGGCGUGCGGUUCAAUUGAAUUCAACACCGGAAAUCUCACCAGCAGCGACGGCAGAAUGAAGGUCAGAUUGAAGGUCUUACCUAACAAGCCGAGAGGUGGUGCAUGGCCGCCGUCAGCUCGUGCCGUAAGGUGUCCAUUUAAGUAUGGUAACGAGCGAGAUCUGUGCCCACAAUUGCUAACAAGUCCUUUUGGAUGAUUGAGCACAUUGUGGGGACUGCCCUGGAAACAGGGAGGAAGGUGCAGGCUACGGUAGGUCUGUAUGCCCCGAAUCUGCUGGGCUACACGCGCGCAACAAUGGUAGGAACAAUGGGACACUACUCCGAAAGGAGACGUUAAGCCUCGAAAUCCUAUCUAAGUUCAGAUUGAGGAUUGUAACUCAUCCUCAUGACGCCGGAAUCCCUAGUAAUC